rnacentral:rRNA from 1 species
AUUGAACGCUGGCGGCAUGCCUUACACAUGCAAGUCGAACGGCAGCACGGGUGCUUGCACCUGGUGGCGAGUGGCGAACGGGUGAGUAAUACAUCGGAACAUGUCCUGUAGUGGGGGAUAGCCCGGCGAAAGCCGGAUUAAUACCGCAUACGAUCUACGGAUGACAGCGGGGGACCUUCGGGCCUCGCGCUAUAGGGUUGGCCGAUGGCUGAUUAGCUAGUUGGUGGGGUAAAGGCCUACCAAGGCGACGAUCAGUAGCUGGUCUGAGAGGACGACCAGCCACACUGGGACUGAGACACGGCCCAGACUCCUAAGGGAGGCAGCAGUGGGGAAUGUUGGACAAUGGGCGAAAGCCUGAUCCAGCAAGGCCGCGUGUGUGAAGAAGGCCUUCGGGUUGUAAAGCACUUUUGUCCGGAAAGAAAUCCUUGGCCCUAAUACGGUCGGGGGAUGACGGUACCGGAAGAAUAGGCACCGGCUAACUACGUG